UACGUAGGGUGCGAGCGUUAAUCGGAAUUACUGGGCGUAAAGCGUGCGCAGGCGGCUUCGCAAGUCAGACGUGAAAUCCCCGGGCUUAACCUGGGAAUGGCGUUUGAAACUACGGAGCUGGAGUGUGGCAGAGGGAGGUAGAAUUCCACGUGUAGCGGUGAAAUGCGUAGAUAUGUGGAGGAAUACCGAUGGCGAAGGCAGCCUCCUGGGACAACACUGACGCUCAUGCACGAAAGCGUGGGGAGCAAACAGG
rnacentral:rRNA from 1 species